rnacentral:rRNA from 1 species
UACGGAGGGGGCUAGCGUUGUUCGGAAUUACUGGGCGUAAAGCGCGCGUAGGCGGACCUGCAAGUCGGGGGUGAAAGCCCGAGGCUCAACCUCGGAACUGCCUUCGAUACUGCGGGUCUCGAGUCCGGGAGAGGUGAGUGGAAUUCCCAGUGUAGCGGUGAAAUGCGUAGAUAUUGGGAGGAACACCAGUGGCGAAGGCGGCUCACUGGACUGGUACUGACGCUGAUGCGCGAAAGCUAGGGGAGCGAACAGG